CCUACGGGGGGCAGCAGUGGGGAAUAUUGGGCAAUGGGCGCAACCCUGACCCAGCAACGCCGCGUGAAGGAAGAAGGCUUUCGGGUUGUAAACUUCUUUUAUCAGGGACGAAGAAAGUGACGGUACCUGAUGAAUAAGCCACGGCUAACUACGUGCCAGCAGCCGCGGUAAUACGUAGGUGGCAAGCGUUAUCCGGAUUGACUGGGGGUAAAGGGUGCGUAGGCGGGUGGGCAAGUUAGUUGUGAAACUCAAGGGCUCAACCCAUAGACUGCAUUUGAAACUGUUCGUCUUGAGUGCAGGAGGGGCAAGCGGAAUUCCGGGUGUAGCGGUGGAAUGCGUAGAUAUACGGAGGAACACCAGUGGCGAAGGCGGAUUGCUGGACAGUAACUGACGCUGAGGCGCGAAAGCGUGGGGAGCAAACAGGAUUAGAUACCCGAGUAGUC
rnacentral:rRNA from 1 species